rnacentral:rRNA from 1 species
GAUGAACGCUGACAGAAUGCUUAACACAUGCAAGUCUACUUGAACUUCGGUUUGGGUGGCGGACGGGUGAGUAACGCGUAAAGAACUUGCCUCACAGUUAGGGACAACAUUUGGAAACGAAUGCUAAUACCUGAUAUUAUGAUUUUAGGGCAUCCUAAGAUUAUGAAAGCUAUAUGCGCUGUGAGAGAGCUAUGCGUCCCAUUAGCUAGUUGGAGAGGUAACGGCUCACCAAGGCGAUGAUGGGUAGCCGGCCUGAGAGGGUGAACGGCCACAAGGGGACUGAGACACGGCCCUUACUCCUACGGGAGGCAGCAGUGGGGAAUAUUGGACAAUGGACCAAAAGUCUGAUCCAGCAAUUCUGUGUGCACGAUGACGUUUUUCGGAAUGUAAAGUGCUUUCAGUUGGGAAGAAAAAAAUGACGGUACCAACAGAAGAAGUGACGGCUAAAUACGUGCCAGCAGCCGCGGUAAUACGUAUGUCACAAGCGUUAUCCGGAUUUAUUGGGCGUAAAGCGCGUCUAGGUGGUUAUGUAAGUCUGAUGUGAAAAUGCAGGGCUCAACUCUGUAUUGCGUUGGAAACUGCAUGACUAGAGUACUGGAGAGGUAAGCGGAACUACAAGUGUAGAGGUGAAAUUCGUAGAUAUUUGUAGGAAUGCCGAUGGGGAAGCCAGCUUACUGGACAGAUACUGACGCUAAAGCGCGAAAGCGUGGGUAGCAAACAGG